GUAUCAUGUCAACCAGGGUCCAAUAUUAGCACCAUUUACCGGCCAAAUGCUGGUAAAAUAUGCAAGUGGCUGGUAGAUUCGCUUAACUUACCAGCC